CAGAGACUUGGCUGUCAGCACUGCACCACUGGAGGGUCUACCACGUGUUCUAAAUUGGUUAGACAUUAUUCCCAUUUGAAUUGCCUUCACUCCUGAGUCUCUGAGUGUCAGGUUCAAGCUGCUGACCGACGAGGUUCCUUAUGCUUGCGAACCAGUUAGAUUCUAUACACAUAUGAAUCUUCCCCAUAUUCGAAUAUCUGAAUGUCAGACUCAAGCUGAUGAUAUAUGAGGUAUGGUCCCCGCUGUAUCAAUCAAGUCCCAUUGAAAUAUUAAAACGUUGUUCAUACAUCUUUGAAUGACCUUUUAUGUGCUGACAAUAUGUUCUGAAAUGAAGAGGUAUGUUU